CCGGAGAAUGUUAUCACGGGAGACACACGGCGGGUGCUAACGUCCGUCGUGAAGAGGGAAACAACCCAGACCGCCAGCUAAGGUCCCAAAGUCAUGGUUAAGUGGGAAACGAUGUGGGAAGGCCCAGACAGCCAGGAUGUUGGCUUAGAAGCAGCCAUCAUUUAAAGAAAGCGUAAUAGCUCACUGGUCGAGUCGGCCUGCGCGGAAGAUGUAACGGGGCUAAACCAUGCACCGAAGCUGCGGCAGCGA
rnacentral:rRNA from 1 species